GGUAGGAGCCGGCUUGCUGGCGAUCGCAUCACCGCGGUGCAGCUGAUGCGCCGCGGUGAUGCGAUCGCCAGCAAGCCGGCUCCUAUG
rnacentral:misc_RNA from 1 species